rnacentral:rRNA from 1 species
UUAAUAGUAAAAUYUGCUCAAUGAUUUUAAAUAGCCGCAUACGUGCUAAGGUAGCAUAAUAAUUUGUCUUUUAAAUAAGGACUAGAACAAACGAUUUAACAUUUUAAUUUAUUUUUUUAUCUAAAUAACUCAAAAUUUUCUUAAUUGUAAAAAGACAAUUAUAUAUAAAAAAGACGACCAGACCCUAUUGAACUUAACUUAAGUUAAACUGGGGAAGUUUAUUAAUUAUUAUUUUAAUUUAAAUUACAAUAAUAAAUAUCUACUUAAAGUAAUUAAUUCAGUUACCAUAGGGAUAACAGCGCAAUUAUAUUUUAAAGCUCUUAUUUAAAACUUAGAUUACGACCUCGAUGUUGAAUUAAUUACCUAUUUAAAGCAAAUUUUAAAAAAGGAAGUCUGUUCGACUUAUAAAUAAUUACAUGAUUUGAGUUCAGACCGGUGUAAGCCAGGUCAGUUUCUAUCUUUUAAUAAAACUUUUACAGUACGAAAGGACCUAAAAAUAUAAUAUAAUUAUAUUAUUAGCAAAUAAAUGCAUUAGAAUUAGAAUCUAAUAAAACUUAUU